rnacentral:tRNA from 1 species
GGACUGUAGCUCAGUGGUACAGCGUGUGCCUGGCAUGUGUGAGACACUGGGUUCAAUCCUCGGCACCA